AGAUGCAAUCAUAUACCAGCACUAAAGCACCGAAUCCCAUUAGAACUUUGAAGUUAAGCGUGCUUGGGCGAGAGUAGUACUAGGAUGGGUGACCUCCUGGGAAGUCCUCGUGCCGCAUUCC
rnacentral:rRNA from 1 species